rnacentral:sRNA from 1 species
CGAUCUGCUGCGGGCAGAUGAAGUGGAUGUGCGUGUCCAGGCCGCCUGCGGUAAGGAUGAGCCCCUCGCCGGCCAGGGCUUCGGUGCCCGCGCCAACGGUCAUGCCCGGGGUUACUCCGUCCAUGAUGUCGGGGUUGCCGGCAUGGCCGAUGCCGACGAUGUAGCCGCCCUUAAUGCCGAUGUCGGCCUUGUAGAUACCCGUGUAGUCGAGCACAAGCGCGUUGGUGAUUACCAAGUCCAGGUCGCCGUCGGCGCUGGUGGUGGUGACGGACUGGCCCAUGCCGUCGCGC